UACGUAGGGGGCUAGCGUUGUCCGGAUUUAUUGGGCGUAAAGAGCUCGUAGGCGGUCUGUCGCGUCUGCUGUGAAAACCCGUGGCUCAACCAUGUGGUCUGCAGUCGAUACGGGCAGGCUAGAAUUCGGUAGGGGAGACUGGAAUUCCUGGUGUAGCGGUGAAAUGCGCAGAUAUCAGGAGGAACACCGGUGGCGAAGGCGGGUCUCUGGGCCGAUAUUGACGCUGAGGAGCGAAAGCGUGGGGAGCGAACAGG
rnacentral:rRNA from 1 species